rnacentral:rRNA from 1 species
GAUGGACGCUGGCGGCGUGCCUAACACAUGCAAGUCGAACGGAGAUUACGGACGGAAGUUUUCGGAUGGAAGCCUGUAAUUCUUAGUGGCGGACGGGUGAGUAACGCGUGGGCAACCUGCCCUAUACAGGGGGAUAGCAGCUGGAAACGGCUGGUAAGACCGCAUAAGUCGGUUAAAUCGCAUGAUUUGAUCGGGAAAUGAGCAAUCAGGUAUAGGAUGGGCCCGCGUCCGAUUAGCCAGUUGGCAGGGUAAAAGCCUACCAAAGCGACGAUCGGUAGCCGGACUGAGAGGUCGGACGGCCACAUUGGGACUGAGACACGGCCCAAACUCCUACGGGAGGCAGCAGUGGGGGAUAUUGCACAAUGGAGGAAACUCUGAUGCAGCGACGCCGCGUGAGUGAAGAAGUAUUUCGGUAUGUAAAGCUCUAUCAGCAGGGAAGAUGAUGACGGUACCUGACGAAGAAGCCCCGGCUAACUACGUG